rnacentral:miRNA from 1 species
AAGAGAAUACACAGGCUGACA